rnacentral:rRNA from 1 species
GAUGAACGCUGGCGGCGUGCCUAAUACAUGCAAGUCGAGCGAACAGAUAAGGAGCUUGCUCCUUUGACGUUAGCGGCGGACGGGUGAGUAACACGUGGGUAACCUACCUAUAAGACUGGGAUAACUUCGGGAAACCGGAGCUAAUACCGGAUAACAUUUGGAACCGCAUGGUUCUAAAGUGAAAGAUGGUUUUGCUAUCACUUAUAAAUGGACCCGCGCCGUAUUAGCUAGUUGGUAAGGUAACGGCUUACCAAGGCAACGAUACGUAGCCGACCUGAGAGGGUGAUCGGCCACACUGGAACUGAGACACGGUCCAGACUCCUACGGGAGGCAGCAGUAGGGAAUCUUCCGCAAUGGGCGAAAGCCUGACGGAGCAACGCCGCGUGAGUGAUGAAGGGUUUCGGCUCGUAAAACUCUGUUAUUAGGGAAGAACAAAUGUGUAAGUAACUGUGCACGUCUUGACGGUACCUAAUCAGAAAGCCACGGCUAACUACGUG